CUAUACAUGCAAGUCGAGCGGUAAGGCUCUGCACUAAGUACUUAAAUUUUUAAGUAUUUUGUGUAGAGUACACGAGCGGCGGACGGCUGAGUAACGCGUAGGAACCUACCUCAAAGUGAGGGAUAAGCAUCAGAAAUGAUGUCUAAUACCGCAUGUGCUCUAAGGAGUAAAGCUUUAGCGCUUUGAGAAGGGCCUGCGUAUGAUUAGCUUGUUGGUAAGGUAAUGGCUUACCAAGGCGACGAUCAUUAGCUGGUCUGAGAGGAUGAUCAGCCAGACUGGGACUGAGAACGGCCCAGACUCCUACGGGAGGCAGCAGUAGGGAAUUUUCCACAAUGGGCGAAAGCCUGAUGGAGCAACGCCGCGUGCAGGAUGAAGGCUUUCGGGUCGUAAACUGCUUUUAUAUGUGAUGAUUAUGACAGUAGCAUAUGAAUAAGGAUCGGCUAACUCCGUGCCAGCAGCCGCGGUCAUACGGAGGAUCCAAGCGUUAUCCGGAAUUACUGGGCGUAAAGAGUUGCGUAGGUGGCAAAGUAAGCGAAUAGUAAAAGCGUACAGCUCAACUAUAUACAUAUUAUUUGAACUACUUAGCUAGAGGAUGAGAGAGGUUAUUGGAAUUCCUA
rnacentral:rRNA from 1 species